rnacentral:rRNA from 1 species
AUACAUGCAAGUCGAACGAGAUCUUCGGAUCUAGUGGCGCACGGGUGCGUAACGCGUGGGAAUCUGCCCUUGGGUUCGGAAUAACAUCUGGAAACGGAUGCUAAUACCGGAUGAUGACGUAAGUCCAAAGAUUUAUCGCCCAAGGAUGAGCCCGCGUAGGAUUAGCUAGUUGGUGAGGUAAAGGCUCACCAAGGCUACGAUCCUUAGCUGGUCUGAGAGGAUGAUCAGCCACACUGGGACUGAGACACGGCCCAGACUCCUACGGGAGGCAGCAGUAGGGAAUAUUGGACAAUGGGGGCAACCCUGAUCCAGCAAUGCCGCGUGAGUGAUGGAGGCCUUAGGGUUGUAAAGCUCUUUUACCCGAGAUGAUAAUGACAGUAUCGGGAGAAUAAGCUCCGGCUAACUCCGUGCCAGCAGCCGCGGUAAUACGGAGGGAGCUAGCGUUGUUCGGAAUUACUGGGCGUAAAGCGCACGUAGGCGGUUAUUUAAGUCAGAGGUGAAAGCCCGGGGCUCAACCCCGGAACUGCCUUUGAGACUGGAUAACUUGAAUCCAGGAGAGGUGAGUGGAAUUCCGAGUGUAGAGGUGAAAUUCGUAGAUAUUCGGAAGAACACCAGUGGCGAAGGCGGCUCACUGGACUGGUAUUGACGCUGAGGUGCGAAAGC